GGGCAGGGCUGCACGCUUCCCGAAGGGCGUCUCCAGGGCAAAGGACGGCCGCCCUCCGGGCCGCCGGACUUCUGUAUCUAUCUGGAUCUAAGAAAAUGAGUCAUAUCUCACUGGGGGACAAAAUGUCUUGAAGAAAGCAAUUACAUUCAAUUAUAAAAUGAAAUAGAGUUCUGCUCCACCUGAAGAUGUUUCUUUUUAGAAAUCAGAAAUCCAACAUGGAUCUUAUUCGACUAAAUCGCCUACCAGGAAGCUGUAUUCCAUCUGCUGGCUCUCCAGGACCACCUAUUUUCUUGUUUUAAUUUCUGAUGACCACCUACACUCUUAGCUUAUAGACCCUUCCUCCACCUUCACACUCUGCUUUUGCAGCCUUCUCCUCCUCUGCCUCUUUCUGAGGAUCUUUGUGAUAACAUUGAACUCACCCAGACCAAGCAGAACGAUCUCCUCCUCUCAGGAUCCUGGGUCACACCACAAAGUCCCUUUUGCCAUCUAAAGUGUUGUUUGUAGGCAUGGGGAUUAAGAAGUUCAUCUAUUGGGGGACCUUGACUCAGCCUGCCUCCCAGGGCAAUGUGACAAAGGUGACGACACUGGAGCUAAGUACCCGGUGUUGUGCAAAUAUGCUAGAGGGGAUGCGUAAGAGGUAUAAUGUGAAUUUUCAGUUAAGGUUGCACAGGUGCCAGUGGAUGGGAGGGAUGUCCUGUGGAUGUGGUAGGAGAGGAGACCCUGGUGAAGAUGACACUUUCAUUAGUUAUGUAUCAUGAUGUUAUUAUUACUUUCUGAUUAAACAAUUCUAGCAAUGUGUGUUUGAGAUCUUGCAGUAUCUGAGAGUCAUGGGUCCAAGAGCCUUGACCAGAUGACUGGACAUUUUGGACUUUGUAAAUUCACAGUCAAGUUCUGGGAGGGGGCUGUGUUUGCGGAUGCUACUGUGUGGGCUGAGAUAUCCAUCCCUCCUUUCUUACUAAAUGGACCUCUCCAUACAGUAAGUAUAUACCAUGGCACUUAUCUGAAUUCUCUGAGCAGGGAGGGAAGCAGAAAGAAAGGAAAGAGGGAGAGAGAGAGACAGGCAGAGAGAAAGAGAGAAAUCCCUUCAAAGAAACAAGUCAUUUAAAACCUAACCUCAGAAAUGGCAUACUCUCAUUCAUGCCAUUGUAUGGGUCACAAAAACCUAAAUCUAUGUGGAGAGGAUCACACAAAAAGGUGAGCACUAGGGAUAGCAAUCACUGAUAACAUCUUAUAAGCAAUUACUUGUUGCUGUCAUGUAGGGCUAACAUGAGAAACAGGCAAGGAUAAAGUUGAGAAGGGAGGGUUAGAGCAAGUGACAGCUAUCCUCUGGACCAAGGAAUCUAGACAUAAUCUCUUUAUAGACAGGGAGGUACUCCUGAGGCUUAGUCAUGGGUAAAGCAGGAGGCGGGAAGUAGGUUUCAGUUCAAGUCACCAGUGCCAGGGCACUUCAGUAGAUGGAAUGACUGGAGAGGCAGGGAUGGGGAGGCCCCAGGGUGCUGGUUUGAGAGGCA